rnacentral:rRNA from 1 species
UACGAAGGGGGGCUAGCGUUGCUCGGAAUCACUGGGCGUAAAGGGUGCGUAGGUGGGUCUUUAAGUCAGAGGUGAAUGCCUAGGACGCUCCAACAUCCAGAACCGUAGCUUUCGAUACUGAGGAUCUUGAGUUCGGGAGAGGUGAGUGGAACUCGCGAGUGUAGAGGUGAAAUUCGUAGAUAUUCGCAAGAACACCAGUGGCGAAGGUGGCUCACUGGCCCGAUACUGACACUGAGGCACGAAAGCGUGGGGAGCAAACAGG